rnacentral:pre_miRNA from 1 species
UGCUAUUGUCUUACUGCUACAGCAGGGCUGGGGAUUGCAGUGUCCGCUGUUGCUGCUGAUACCUAGUCCUGCCUCCUGCAUCCCAGAAGAGCCACGUUGGCUUGCC